CCUACGGGAGGCAGCAGUAGGGAAUCUUCGGCAAUGGGCGAAAGCCUGACCGAGCAACGCCGCGUGAAUGAUGAAGGCCUUCGGGUUGUAAAAUUCUGUUAUAAGGGAAGAACGACUUUAGUAGGAAAUGGCUAGAGUGUGACGGUACCUUAUGAGAAAGCCACGGCUAACUACGUGCCAGCAGCCGCGGUAAU
rnacentral:rRNA from 1 species